CUUCCAUCUGGAAGAAUCUGGAGACAGGUGCUGCAUGGCUGUCGUCAGCUCGUGUCGUGAGAUGUUGGGUUAAGUCCCGCAACGAGCGCAACCCUUGCCUUUAGUUGCCAGCAGUUCGGCUGGGCACUCUAAAGGGGACUGCCGGUGUUAAACCGGAGGAAGGUGGGGAUGACGUCAAGUCCUCAUGGCCUUUAUGACCAGGGCUACACACGUACUACAAUGGCCGAUACAAAGGGCAGCGACACUGCGAGGUGAAGCCAAUCCCGUAAAAUCGGUCUCAGUCCGGAUUGGAGUCUGCAACUCGACUCCAUGAAGUUGGAAUCGCUAGUAAUCGUGGAUCAGCAUGCCACGGUGAAUACGUUCCCGGGCCUU
rnacentral:rRNA from 1 species